UACGUAGGAUGCAAGCGCUGUUCGGAAUUACUGGGCGUAAAGAGUACGUAGGCGGUUUGAUAAGUCUGCUAUUAAAGACUGGAGCUUAACUCCAGGACUGUAGUGGAAACUGUCAGACUAGAGGACAAUAGAGGAAGUCGGAAUUCUCAGUGUAGCGGUGAAAUGCGUAGAUAUUGGGAAGAACACCAGUGGCGAAAGCGGACUUCUGGGUUGUUACUGACGCUGAGGUACGAAAGCGUGGGGAGCAAACGGG
rnacentral:rRNA from 1 species